AUGGAAGAGCCGGAAGAGGGAUGGAAUGGAAAGAUAACCUUCCCCUGGAGUUUGGCGGUCCAGCGGCCAAUCUCCUCUCUGCCUACAGAUACUCCUUCUCUUCUCUCUGCUGCGAAGAAUAUUCUGCUAUUCCUCUGCUCUUCUGUUUGUCCUCUUGUCUGCUUGCCUGCUCAUGGAGCCUGGGACUUGGGGUUUAUAUGGGUAUGGAAUGAGGAGCAUGGAGGGUCAAAAGGCAACACUUGCAACAAAUGGAAAACAGAAAUGCCUUUUCACAUUUAGGAUCCUGGGUUUCCAGGCUUGGGGGUAAGUCUUUUGGUGGCGAGCUGCCCUCUUCUACCCAGUAUUUCCCUGUCUCCUGUUCAUAUCAAUAGCAUAGCCAUAAAAUUCUCUUCCAUCACACCUCCAAAUAUUUGACAAAUGAGUCAGAAUAAUCUUGAUGCAACAUACGAAUUUUGUUUAUAAGUCUUUUUUAUGACCAAAUAAGAGCCUGAAAGAGGUCGGGCCAAGGUAUCAUAUGAGGACAUAUUUAUUAAGUUAGGAAGAGCCCUGUUUGGGCGACUAUGUGCUCUUUUCCUCAUCAACCCAUUGGUCACGUCGGUGUAGUGACGGGGGAUUGAUAGCAUUUGGGCCUUCCUAGUUCAGGUUCAUUCCCUGACAAUAACUGUUGCAGUUCUUUUAAACAGACCUUAAUAAAAAACACAAAAAUAUCAUUCAGAAACCUGGGACUAAUUCAUCACAGCAGACUAUAUAAAAUGUGCUGCAAGUUAACAUACUAGCCAAAUGUAUCUUAUUACCAAGUUGUGGUUAACUAUCAAGGCCUCCUUAUCAGAUUUUUGGUGGAUCUUUAGGGUGGGUAGUGUGAUGAUAUUUUUGGGCAUGUCUGAUCAUGAUCUUCCAGUCAUAACCUCCUCCAUUUUUGAGCCUCAUUAUUGCCCAGGGUACUGGUUAUUUUUCUUCAUGUUAAUUGCGGAGAUCUCUGUCUCUCCUCUCAAUAUUUCUUUCAUGUACAGUUCUUCAUGAACAGGGUUUCUACUAGCUAGAGCUCAGAAACAUUGCUGGCAUUUCCCCUGUCUUUUUAGAACUGCUAAUUGCUAACUUAGUGCUCUGGGCUGUUUGAGAACUGCAGCAGCUAGGAUUCUCUAUUCUGUUUCAGGUUGUCUGUUUUAUUUCUAGAGACAGUGUUAUCUAUGAUCAGAACAAGAACCAAAUAAUGGUUUAUACUAGGUUCCAUCCAAGCAGGAAUGUCUCCUUGUUGCUGGUGAAAUUUUAGGGGGCUAAAUCUAGAGCUACAAAACAAUAGUGACGUCUGUAGGCACAAAGUUUAACAUUAAGAUAUUUCUGGAUAUUUUUCUAUGCUGUUUUGAUGACAGCUGUGACAUGUACUGCUUCCUUUCAUUUAAAGGGUUAUUUUAUAUGACUUCAUUAUUUCUUUUUAGGCUUUCUAGGCCACUAGGCUUUCCAUUUGGGAAUCUAUUUGGAUUUCCCUUUGGAUAGAAAGAUGAUCUUGGAUCACAUCUCUGUAGUCAUGCCAGAGGUUCCCAUAUGCUGAUUUAUGAGCCAAUAUCAACUGCAUUAUAUCAAAAUCCUUUGUGAGAACUUAUUAAAAAUAUCCAUUAUCACAGGAUGCUUCCCUGAGCUUUUGAUAAAUUAUAAAUGGGGUAAGGACAGGAGUCUGUGCUUCUAACCAGCUCUUUGGGAUAUUUUUAUAUGAAGUUAUGUUAGGAAACGCUGAUCUAGAUGGUGAGCAUCCUAUUUAGGCUUGAUGGAGUUUUGGAUUUCAAUACAAAAUAAUAUUAUAGUAACAUUCACUGGAUACUUAUUAUGUAGGAGGCAUUAGGGUAAGUAUCUUUUUGUGGAGCCUAUAUUGAGUUUACCAGGUAAACUCAAUUAUUGUUCUUAUAUGGGGAAACAGAAGCCUUGCAUAGGUACAGAUAAGAUUCAAACCUUGAGGCUCUAAGUCUAUAUAUAAAACCACUUGAUGCUAAAUAUUGUGCUACCUAAACUUGGAGCUCAGCACUACCCUAUCUCUAACAGCAUGCCAUUUGAUAAGACAUUCAAAUAU
ensembl:lncRNA